GAAAAUCAAAUCAAUUUCACUUAACAAAAUAGGAUGCAGCUUUAAACGACGCUCAAAACUGAUGCAUUCACCAAUACUGCACAAAUUAAAAGAAUACCUAGCUUCCUUUGGUUAUCUGUGUAAUUUUUGAAUUAUCCUAUCGAAUUUGCUAUAUGGAGUUGUUAAUUGAUGGGCAAUAUCUGGAAUUUAUGUUUCUCUAUUCGUUCUUGACCACGCUAUGUGGCUUUGCU